CUGUGUAUGUUUAUCUUAUUGAUUGUUAAAUAAAAUACUGUUUGGCCAAUGAGACAGGAAGUUAGACAGGACUAGGAGCCAGAGAGGAUUCUGGGGAAUGUAGUAGAGAAGUGGUGGUCCAGGCAGGAAGUGACAUAGCAAGGAGACUCAUAUUUGAGCGAGGAGAAACAGGAAGUUCCCUCUUUUCCCCUCCGAUCCUGCUCCAGUGGCACAAUGUGAUCCACCAGCAAGGAGGUACACCAAUAAGGCAUCCGAUAAGAUAAGUCUUAUAAAAUAUAUAGAUUUAUGAUAAUUAAGACUGAGCUAGCAGAUGAGAAGUCCUAGUCAUUGGCCAAGAAGCUUUGUACCUAAUACAAGUUUCUGUGUAUUCAUUUGGGCCUAACUCGGUCAGGUGGCUGGCCUAAAGCGUACACAUGGCGGUGGGGCUCAGCGGCUUUUGGCGGAAAGAUUUAUCAUUUUCCUUUGAUUUUUUUCUGUUAUUUUGUUCUUGCUCUUUGCUGAGUUUUAAAAAAUGUAGUUAUUAUAUAUAACCAAAGAUAACUGUAAAUAUAUUUUACAUGGUCUAUGGCUUUACUGAGUCUUUCUGUGUCUCUCUGCCUCUCUCAACUGAUGUAUGUCUAUUUGUAUGUGUGCACUGAAUAAUUUUUAUGAUAUUUACUUGUCCAACAAUUCUAGGAUUACUAUUGUCCUAAAGUUGGUGUCUAUUGUGUUUUGAGUUGAUUCAUAUUUUUGUAUCAAAAUAUGAGCAUUUUCAUUAACUUGUGAGGUUAUGGAUUUUAUUAAUUUUCCUUUAGCUGGCUUCUUCUGCUAUCCCUUCAGCAAUGGCAGUGGGGCCCCACUUUAUUAGUGCCAAGUGAUGGUAGAAGUCUAAAUUCUCUAGUUUUCAUUCACAGAUACCAAAUGGUACAGAAGCUUAUAACUGCUGGGCAUGGCUGGCAGUUCUGGUUCUCUGGCUGUCCCUGCAGAUACAAUUCUUGUCACCACUCCCCAUCUGGUCUCCAUUGAUACCAUCUGGUUUCCACUGAAUUCUGGGAGGAACACCAUGGGAGAUGCUGCUGCUGACAUGACUGCCAAGCCUUGGGAGAAGCCCUGGUCCCUGCAGCAUGAUCUGCUCUAUCCCAGGGGGAAGCACUGAAUACCUUCAUACAGACUAUUGGGGUGGCGUUCCAAUCUUCCCACACAGCCUUUUCAGGUAUGAGUGCAAAUAAGACAAAUCCUUUGCUUUUCCAUCGUGGUUUGGAUUUUCUAGCCUGACUCUCCUCUUUACUAUUUGAGUGGAGUGAAUAGGCAUUGGUUGAACUUCUGGCCUGCCUCCAUUGGCAUUUUCAAGUUGCAACAUAUUAGGGGA
rnacentral:lncRNA from 1 species